rnacentral:lncRNA from 1 species
GGAUGAAUAGUCAGGAAAAGUAAUUAUCAUCUGUAGUAUAGGAGUUGGUAUCUCGGGGUAGUAUAAGGAGGAUGGGAGAGGGGAAGAAAAUGCCAGACUGCGAUAGUACUGAGCCGGGGAUAAGCUUGGUGCUAUUUCUUCUUCUUAAUUUUUUUGUUUCUUUUGUGUUAGUGUUGAUUCUAGUGAAGAGAAUCGAUUUAAUGAAUUAAUGUUU